rnacentral:rRNA from 1 species
GCGGCGUGCUUAACACAUGCAAGUCGAACGAUGAAGCCCUUCGGGGUGGAUUAGUGGCGAACGGGUGAGUAACACGUGGGCAAUCUGCCCUUCACUCUGGGACAAGCCCUGGAAACGGGGUCUAAUACCGGAUAACACUCUGUCCCGCAUGGGACGGGGUUAAAAGCUCCGGCGGUGAAGGAUGAGCCCGCGGCCUAUCAGCUUGUUGGUGGGGUAAUGGCCUACCAAGGCGACGACGGGUAGCCGGCCUGAGAGGGCGACCGGCCACACUGGGACUGAGACACGGCCCAGACUCCUACGGGAGGCAGCAGUGGGGAAUAUUGCACAAUGGGCGAAAGCCUGAUGCAGCGACGCCGCGUGAGGGAUGACGGCCUUCGGGUUGUAAACCUCUUUCAGCAGGGAAGAAGCGAAAGUGACGGUACCUGCAGAAGAAGCGCCGGCUAACUACGUGCCAGCAGCCGCGGUAAUACGUAGGGCGCAAGCGUUGUCCGGAAUUAUUGGGCGUAAAGAGCUCGUAGGCGGCUUGUCACGUCGGAUGUGAAAGCCCGGGGCUUAACCCCGGGUCUGCAUUCGAUACGGGCUAGCUAGAGUGUGGUAGGGGAGAUCGGAAUUCCUGGUGUAGCGGUGAAAUGCGCAGAUAUCAGGAGGAACACCGGUGGCGAAGGCGGAUCUCUGGGCCAUUACUGACGCUGAGGAGCGAAAGCGUGGGGAGCGAACAGGAUUAGAUACCCUGGUAGUCCACGCCGUANACGUUGGGAACUAGGUGUUGGCGACAUUCCACGUCGUCGGUGCCGCAGCUAACGCAUUAAGUUCCCCGCCUGGGGAGUACGGCCGCAAGGCU